rnacentral:rRNA from 1 species
GACGAACGCUGGCGGCGUGCCUAAUACAUGCAAGUCGAACGCAGUGGGGACGGGUGAGUAACACGUGGGUAACCUCCCAUCAGAGGGGAUAACACUUGGAAACAGGUGCUCAACCGAUAUUGAAGGAUGGACCCGCGGUGCAUUAGCUAGUGGGUGAGGUAACGGCUCACCAAGGCCACGAUGCAUAGCCUACCGUAUAUGGGUAUCGGCCACACUGGGACUGAGACACGGCCCAGACUCCUACGGGAGGCAGCAGUAGGGAAUAUUCGGCAAUGGACGAAAGUCUGAGCGAGCAACGCCGCGUGAGUGAAGAAGGUUGUCGGAGCGUAAAACUCUUUUGUUAGAGAAGCGGUAUCUAACCAGAAAGCCACGGCUAACUACGUGCCAGCAGCCGCGGUAAUUC